AUUGAACGCUGGCGGCAUGCCUUACACAUGCAAGUCGAACGGUAACAGGUCUUCGGAUGCUGACGAGUGGCGAACGGGUGAGUAAUACAUCGGAACGUGCCUAGUAGUGGGGGAUAACUACUCGAAAGAGUGGCUAAUACCGCAUGAGACCUACGGAUGAAAGCAGGGGAUCGCGAGACCUUGUGCUACUAGAGCGGCCGAUGGCAGAUUAGGUAGUUGGUGGGAUAAAAGCGUACCAAGCCGACGAUCUGUAGCUGGUCUGAGAGGACGAUCAGCCACACUGGGACUGAGACACGGCCCAGACUCCUACGGGAGGCAGCAGUGGGGAAUUUUGGACAAUGGGCGCAAGCCUGAUCCAGCAAUGCCGCGUGCAGGAUGAAGGCCUUCGGGUUGUAAACUGCUUUUGUACGGAACGAAAAGCCCCGGGUUAAUACCCUGGGGUCAUGACGGUACCGUAAGAAUAAGCACCGGCUAACUACGUGCCAGCCGCCGCCGUAA
rnacentral:rRNA from 1 species